rnacentral:misc_RNA from 1 species
UACGGAGGGUGCGAGCGUUGUCCGGAAUCACUGGGCGUAAAGGGCGCGUAGGCGGCUCGGUAAGUCACUUGUGAAAUCCCGGUGCUCAACGCCGGGGCCGCAGGUGAGACUGUCGGGCUGGAGCUUGGUAGAGGCGAGUGGAAUUCCCGGUGUAGCGGUGGAAUGCGUAGAUAUCGGGAAGAACACCGGUGGCGAAGGCGGCUCGCUGGGCCAAUGCUGACGCUGAGGCGCGAAAGCGUGGGGAGCAAACAGG